rfam:Hordeum vulgare subsp. vulgare, WGS project CAJW01000000 data, contig: morex_contig_57017
GUAGUACUCCCACCGUUCCGAAAUACUUGUCGAAGAAAUGAAUGUAUCUAGAUGCGUUUUAGUUUUAGAUAUAUCAAUUUUUAUUUAUUUUACGACAAGUAAUUUCGCAAGGAGGGAGUAUUUU